AUCGCUUCUUGGUCUUUUGGCUAAGAUCAAGUGUAGUAUCUGUUCUUAUCAGCUUUGCAGCUAGGGAAUUGGUUUUUAAAAAAACCUAUUUUUGAGUGUUUAGGUCAGAUGGGAGAGCUGAGAGAUACACUGUUUACUAACUAGCCCAGGGCUA
rnacentral:snRNA from 1 species